UGGGGAAUCUUCCGCAAUGGGCGAAAGCCUGACGGAGCAAUACCGCGUGAGGGAGGAAUGCCUUUGGGUUGUAAACCUCUUUUCUCAGGGAAGAAGAUCUGACGGUACCUGAGGAAUAAGUACCGGCUAACUCCGUGCCAGCAGCCGCGGUAAUACGGAGGAUGCAAGCGUUAUCCGGAAUCAUUGGGCGUAAAGCGUCCGCAGGUGGUUUCCAGAGUCUGCUGUUAAAGACUGGAGCUCAACUCCGGAACGGCGGUGGAAACUUGGAAACUAGAGUUCGGUAGGGGUAGCAGGAAUUCCCAGUGUAGCGGUGAAAUGCGUAGAUAUUGGGAAGAACAUCGGUGGCGAAGGCGUGCUACUGGACCGUAACUGACACUCAGGGACGAAAGCUAGGGGAGCGAAAGGGAUUAGAUACCCCUGUAGUCCUAGCUGUAAACGAUGGAAACUAGGUGUGGCUUGA
rnacentral:rRNA from 1 species